rnacentral:rRNA from 1 species
CAGGCCUAACACAUGCAAGUCGAACGAACUCUUCGGAGUUAGUGGCAGACGGGUGAGUAACGCGUGGGAACCUACCUUUAGGUACGGAACAACAGUUGGAAACGACUGCUAAUACCGUAUGUGCCCUAUGGGGGAAAGAUUUAUCGCCUAAGGAUGGGCCCGCGUUGGAUUAGCUAGUUGGUGGGGUAAAGGCCUACCAAGGCGACGAUCCAUAGCUGGUCUGAGAGGAUGAUCAGCCACACUGGGACUGAGACACGGCCCAGACUCCUACGGGAGGCGGCAGUGGGGAAUAUUGGACAAUGGGCGCAAGCCUGAUCCAGCCAUGCCGCGUGAGUGAUGAAGGCCCUAGGGUUGUAAAGCUCUUUCAGCGAGGAGGAUAAUGACGUUACUCGCAG